CAGUCGCCGCGGUAAUACAGAGGGUGCGAGCGUUAAUCGGAUUUACUGGGCGUGAAGCGUGCGUAGGCGGCUUCUUAAGUCGGAUGUGAAAUCCCUGAGCUUAACUUAGGAAUUGCAUUCGAUACUGGGAAGCUAGAGUAUGGGAGAGGAUGGUAGAAUUCCAGGUGUAGCGGUGAAAUGCGUAGAGAUCUGGAGGAAUACCGAUGGCGAAGGCAGCCAUCUGGCCUAAUACUGACGCUGAGGUACGAAAGCAUGGGGAGCAAACAGGAUUAGAUACCCCGGUAGUCCCUGUCUCUUAUAC
rnacentral:rRNA from 1 species